UAUGGAGGAUUCAGGGUCUGCCAGUGGAAGGAGGGAAGGUAGAUCUGUCACCCGAUUGUCUAGGUUGAUAGCUAGACACAUUGCCAAGGAGAGGACACCGGUUAAGGUGGAUCCUCGUUUUGGCAAGGCGUCAGGCCCAAAUGCUGCCAAGUUUAAGAGCUAUUUAGGAGUCCUAGCUCGACGUCAUGUUUCUAUUAUCAUUCCAUCAUGGGAUGACGUUGAAGAGGUUGACAAGAACCUCAUGUGACAGGAUAUUCAGCAAAAUUUUGACAUUCCCAACACUGAGGUCAUGAGGAGGAAGAUGUUAUCUGCCCUUGCCACUAGGUGGAGAGACUUCAAGACUUUCUUGACACAGGAGUAGGUAUUUGGAGAGCGACAAAAUAAGACUCCCUGUCUAAAGUACUAGAUCACUAAUGAGAAGUGGAUGCAAUUUCGUGCCACUCGAUUGGACCCUUCUUGGAAGACCAAAAGAAUAGCUACCCAAGAAUAACAAAGCAAGAAUGAUGCACUCCAUCUAUUGUCAACAGGGGGAUAUGAAUUAAAAAAAAAAAUGAUGAAGGCUAGGGCAGAGGCAGCAUGGUUUCAGUCUGCUGACCGUGUGGAGUCACCUCCCUGCCAUGAGAUGUGGAUAGCAGCCUGAACAAAAUCAGAUGGGCAAAUGACUUCUAAGUCUGCAAGGAUCAUUGCUGAUAAAAUAGAGGGUUUAGUUGAGCAGACCACCAGGGCUCAUUUGUUUCCCAUGGUUGGGAUGAUAUCCUCAUAACGGCCAUAGAAAGGCUAGAGAACGCAGGUCGUGUGCGUGGUGUUACUGAUUAAUAAAGGCAAUAAUAUUUAAAUUUAUUGACUUUGGAAAUAAUAGUUAUUUGUUUCUAAUUUUAGAGUAAUAAGCAAUAAAACUUCGUUUGAAUGUGGCUAUUACAUCAUGCAUUGGAUGAGAGCCAUAGUUUCUGCAGGUAUUACUGAUUCUUGGGCGCAAGGAAUUCAUAUCAAAAUUUAUUUAAGUAUAUUUACCUUUACGAUAAUUAACAUUGCAUAUUAAUGACACUUAAAUUAAUGUAUCAGGUCUUUUAAGAUCCAUUUUCAUUGCCCGAAGAUGAGAUCAUCAAGAUAAGAGAACAAUGGGCAACUUUUUUUCUUCAAAGUA